UGAUGAAACUCAGCUCCGAGAGGGGCGC
rnacentral:sRNA from 1 species